GCUACCAAUUUUUGAGCACCUACUCUGGGCAGUCACUGUGCUAAAUACUUUACCUAUAUUUGUGCCCAGUCUAUACCCAAUCCCUUCAAAGACAGCUGUUAUUCCCUUAUUUUAAAAAAUUAGGAAGCUAAAGACAUUUACUGACUCGUCGGUUCAAGAUUACUUGAUUAGAAAAUGGCAGGACAGUGAUCUUUCUAGUUCAAGUUGCACAGCUCUGAUACAAGGAACAAAACAACAACUCAAACACCAAUGUCACUGGUUGCUAUGAGAAACGAGUGAGCUGAUCCAAACACAUGGUAUUUCAGGUACCCAGCAUGGAAUAGUAGGUGCUCAAUAAAGGUUAGCUCUAUCUGC
rnacentral:lncRNA from 1 species